GUACUGUGCGAACGUUAUUCGGGAAUCACUGGGGCUUAAAGGGGUGCGUAGGCGGUUUAUCAAGUCAGAUGUGAAAUGCCUGAGCUCAACUGAGGCACUGCGUUUGAAACUGAUAGACUUGAGUAUUCCAGGGGUAUGCGGAACUGCCAGUGGAGCGGUGAAAUGCGUUGAUAUUGGCAGGAACACCAGUGGCGAAGGCGGCAUACUGGGGGAGUUACUGACGCUGAGGCACGAAAGCCAGGGUAGCGAACGGGAUUAGAUACCCCGGUAGUCCUGGCUGUAAACGAUGAGCACUGGGCGGGAGGGAAGUUCGCUUUUUCCUGCCGUAGCGAAAGCAUUAAGUGCUCCGCCUGGGGAGUAUGGUCGCAAAGGCUG
rnacentral:rRNA from 1 species